GAUGAAGAACGCAGCGAAAUGCGAUAAGUAGUGUGAAUUGCAGAAUUCAGUGAAUCAUCGAAUCUUUGAACGCACAUUGCGCCCCUUGGUAUUCCAUGGGGCAUGCCUGUUCGAGCGUCAUUUGUACCUUCAAGCUCUGCUUGGUGUUGGGUGUUUGUCUCGCCUCUGCGUGUAGACUCGCCUCAAAAUAAUUGGCAGCCGGCGUAUUGAUUUCGGAGCGCAGUACAUCUCGCGCUUUGCACUCAUAACGACGACGUCCAAAAGUACAUUUUUACACUCUUGACCUCGGAUCAGGUAGGGAUACCCGCUGAACUUAAGCAUAUCAAUAGCGAGGA
rnacentral:misc_RNA from 1 species